rnacentral:rRNA from 1 species
ACGAGAGGCCCAAACGUUAUUCGGAAUUACUGGGCUUAAAGAGUUCGUAGGCUGCGCGGAAAGUAGGGUGUGAAAUCCCUCGGCUCAACCGAGGAAUUGCGCUCUAAACUACCGUGCUAGAGGAACCUAGAGGUGAGCGGAACUGAUGGUGGAGCGGUGAAAUGCGUUGAUAUCAUCAGGAACACCGGAGGCGAAGGCGGCUCACUGGGGGUUUUCUGACGCUGAGGAACGAAAGCCAGGGGAGCGAACGGGA